rnacentral:snRNA from 1 species
GGAUAGUUGGGCACAUAAAUACUUUACUGCUUAUUUUAAAACAAUAUAUGAGGCUACACUUCUCCUGAAAUUACUUUUGUUAUCUGGCAAAAUUUACUUCUUCCCACUUUCAGUUUCAAAAAAGAUAUCCAUAAGCUAUCCCCGCCAGGUCUGUUUCUGGUCUGUUUCUGAAAGCACAGCUUAUUUCCUUUAAAGGAGGAAGAAGAAAAAAAAAAAAAAAAAAAAAAAAAAGACCCAUUACACUUGUAAGUGUUCUAAAGUCUUAAAUGAUGUAUUCAAAACUGUACCAAUAAUUAAACUUGGGUCUAGCCUUUGAACUGUUAACUGUCAGCAGUUUGAGAACGUCUAGAGCUAUUACAAUGAUUUGGUAUGAUUAUUCAUUAUUUUCCCUCUCUUUCCCUUUGGCUACAAAGAGGAUCUUAGCUCUUUCCCUGUCUCUGAUCUUAGUCUUCUCUGCAAAUAAGACUACAUGAGAAAAACAAACAAACAAAAAAAACCCAAAAAGGAUUUCUGUAAAAGAAAGAGAUGUCAUCUCUGCUAUAAUCACAUAAAUAGUAAAAUAAAAAUUUUGGUCAAUUAUCCAGGUAAUUCAUGCGCAGAUGCACCUUAACCUUUGACAUUACUAGGAUAAUGGCUGUGGUUCUUUUCAUUUUCCAAGAAUAGAUAAAUUCUUGUGCUUAUUAUAAAAUGCGAACGCUCUUUUUUCAAGUUUAAUAUUUCCUGUCAGAAGAGUUUAGUUCUGUAUAUUAAAAAAAAAUUCACCAAACCAUAUGAUAAAUUAAAUUUGGUGAUUUAAAAGCUGAAAUGUUGCUGUGAUGGACAGAUUGCUUAACAGGAAGAUAAAAUUUGGCAAUGUAAACGAGAUAGGUCCCGUGAGCAUCUUUUUGGAAGCAAAGCAUCUGUUCAGUUGGUUUAUUUUUCUUCUUGUUAGAUCCACCAAAAAAUAGCUUUUCUUUUUAAGUGAGAGUUCUUAAACCUUGAUAUCUCUGUCCAUUUGCCCUAGGAACAUUAUUAUUUUCGAAAGCUGAAUGCUGUAUAAUGUCAUUGCUAAAUAGAACCACAUACUGAAUUUUGGAAUUUCUAUUAACUUUUGGAAAAGUUGCAGAAUGGUCUAUAAAAAGCAAUUUUCAGUUUAUUUAAAAAAAUAGAAUACCAAGCAAGAUAAGACCCCUUUGCUGCCAUCUGUUGUUCUCCCAAAGAAACGACUCACUGGUUAAUACUUUCCUUUUAAACCAGAUAACAUGUCAAAAUCAUUAUUUCCAAUGUUCAGAUGAGAUUCCCUUCUUGAUACCUUUUUCUACAGGGAAUCUCUUCAUCUCUAACAGUUGGGUAAACAGGUUUCCAAGUACUCACACAUGACCAUACAGAGAUUUAAAUUUUCCUCUUGACGCAUGCAGUAGAUAUUUGAGAAGGUUGAAUAGACAAAGACAAAGAAAGCCUCUGAUUCCUAAAUAAGCUCAUCAUAUCCCCAAAGUGCUUGUAAGCUAAUCUUUGCAAAGUAAAAGCUUUUCAUUUAACCACAGCACUUUAGCCCUGGAUGUAAAAUUUAAAUUCAAGAUCACCCUCCACCCCACAAUUGCUUUGUAUUGGGCACAUGGUUAAAAACUGGAACUAUAGACAUGAACGUAACAGAGUCCCAGACUUUGAACAUUUCAGAAUUUAAAAGAGGAGACAGAUUAUGUUGAGAGAAGGAAGCCCUUGUUCAUGUCAAUAUGGGAUGAGGAAUCAAGAAAUCAAGAUAGAAGGUGAUGAUGGCAAUCCUGCUAUGAUGUGACAUCAGUGGAGAUAAAAAUGGAGAAAACUUAGUGAAAGAGGUAAUGUAAAGAUUGACACUUCGUGACAAAAAGGGUUUACAAGUUUGAAAUAAAGGAGGUUGGAAGAGGGUGUUGACUGGCAGGAAAUUCUUUUUUUUUUUAAGCUGUAUUUCACUUAAUACAGGAGAUCACUACAACUACUUCCACUAACUGUAAUGUUAGCCCCUCUCCCAAACAAACAGCAGCAAUAACAAACAAAUAAAAAUCAUAACAGUUGAGACACUCCAAAAUAAGUACAACAAAGAUAUCUUAAAAAGUUCUUUCAUUCCAUCCAUAUUAGGUUAUUUUUGUCCCCGGCUAAGAUGGUAUUAACUUUUAUUUUAGAAGCAAUUUUAACUUAAUGAAAAUUUUAAUGCUGAGAUGAGAAGCAGAAAAUUAGAAUGAGGAACAAGGCCAGGGAAAUCAUUUCUGGAGGCAGACAUGCUGGGAGCUGUAAGAGUCAUGACUGACAGUCCAACUUUCUAAAUAUUUUAGAUUUCAGAUUUUCAAAAUUUCACCUGACUUCAUUUUUAAAAAAAAAAAAUUAAAACUUUUUUCGUGUGUCUUUUUUUUUUUUUUUAAUCCAGGGCCGCACCCACAGCAUAUGGAGGCUCCCAGGCUAGGGGUCCAAUCAGAGCUAUAGCCGCCGGCCAGCACCAGAACCACAGCAACAUGGGACCUAAGCCGCAUCUGCGACCUACACCACAGCCCCAGGCAAUGCCAGAUCCUCAACCCACCGAGCGAGGCCAGGGAUCAAACCUGCAACCCCAUGGUUUCUAGUCAGGUUUGUUAACCACUGAGCCACGAUGGGAACUGCGAACAUUUUUUAAUCUUUUAAAAAUAAAGAACACUUCAUGAAUUUGCAUGUAAUCUUGUACAAGGGCUAUGCUAAUCUUCUCUGUAUGAUGCCAAUGUUAGUAUAUGGGCUGCCCAAGCAAGUACUGGUUUUGUGUCUUUUUUUUUUUUUUUUUUUUUUUGUCUUUUUACCAUUUCUUGGGCUGCCUCGCGGCAUAUGGAGAUUCCCAGGCUAGGGGUCUAAUCGGAGCUGUAGCCACCAGCCUACACCAGAGUCACAGCAACGCGGGAUCCGAGCCGAGAUAGCAACCUACACCACAGCCCACGGCAAUGCCGGAUCCUCAACCCACUGAGCAAGGCCAGGGACCGAACCUGCAACCUCAUGGUUCCUAGUCAGAUUCGUUAACCACUGAGCCAUGACGGGAACUCCUGGUUUUGUGUCUUAAUAACACCCUCUUUCUUUUCUCAGAAUAUUUACCAUUCACUUUGUCCUUAGACUGAUGCUUCAGCCAGAAGAGUCCAGGUUGUGUGUCUUAAUGUGAGUUCACAAGGGGUCUCCUGAAAAGAGUGUUAAAUAUUCUCUUCCCAAGAUGUUUCACUUGCUCUCUCUUCACGCUUCAUGCAAAGAUGAAACUGUUAGAAAAUAUUUAGUUUCCUACUUCCUUCCAACCUUACCCCAAAUCCUUAGUUAAAACAGUUUAUAAUUUUUGGUAUCAUGCUGUUAUGAGACUGCCUUUUGAAGUAUGUCUUUCUAUUUCAACAAUUAUUUUAAAAUACAUUUUACAAAGCCACAGUCAGUCUGCCAUCAUCAGUGUAGACUUAACUCUAGUGAAAGAUGAUUUGGAAAGUGUAUUUCAGUCCUUUGUAAUUUUAUCUCUGAAAGUUGUAAAUAUUUCUAUUUCUCCUUGCAUUUCAGAAAUGUUUCUAUGAUAUGUCUUGAUAUAUGUGUGCUAUAUAUAUUCCUUCAUACUACCUUUGGCAUGGUGAAUUAUUUUGACCUGAAGACUCUACAGUUCAGGUUUUUUUUUUUUUUUUUUUAGUUUGUUUAAUAAUCCAUUUUCCAUGUGUACGCCACUGCCCUUCUGGGCACUCUCAAAAUAUGCUUAAUAGAUCUCUUGGAUCUGUUCUGUAUAUGUCAUGCCAUCUCACUCAUAAGUUCUAGCUUUGUGGAACUUAACUUUUUGUUAUGACAUAUUGCAUUCUUUUAAUCCUUGAGAACCCUAAAUAGCCAAUAGCAUAUAUUAUUCUUUCAUUUUUUUUAAUUUAAUGUUUUAAGAAGCAGAAACCAGGAGUUCCCACUGAGGUGCAAUUGGACCAGCAGGGUCUCUGCAGCAUCAGGACAGGUUCGAUCCCUGGCCCAGCACAGUGGGUUAAUGGAUCCAGCAUUGCUGCAGUUGUGGCACAGACUGCAACUGUGGCUAAGAUCUGGUCCUUGCUUGGCCCAGGAAAUCCAUACAUCCUAGAGGAGCCAAAAAAAAGAAAAAAAAUUAAAAAUUAAAAAAGGCAGAAUCCACAUUCAUUAGUUCUAGAAAGUCUUUUUUGGAGUUCCCUUCAUGGCUCAGUGGUUAACAAACCUGACUAGGUGACUAGGGUCUAUGAGGAUUAGGGUUCAAUUCCUGGCCUUACUCAGUGGGUUAAGAAUCUGGCGUUGCCGUGAGCUGUGGCCUAGGCCAGCAGCUGUAGCUCUCAGAUUCAAUCC